rnacentral:rRNA from 1 species
ACGGAGGGUCCAAGCGUUAUCCGGAAUCAUUGGGUUUAAAGGGUGCGCAGGCGGUAAAGUAAGUCAGUGGUGAAAUCUCUCGGCUCAACCGAGAAACUGCCAUUGAUACUGCUAUACUUGAAUACAGUUGAAGUAGGCGGAAUGUGUAGUGUAGCGGUGAAAUGCUUAGAUAUUACACAGAACACCGAUAGCGAAGGCAGCUUACUAAACUGAUAUUGACGCUCAUGCACGAAAGCGUGGGGAGCGAACAGGAUUAGAUACCCUGGUAGUCCACGCCGUAAACUAUGAUUACUCGUUCUCGGCGAUAUACGGUCGGGGACUAAGCGAAAGUGAUAAGUAAUCCACCUGGGGAGUACGAUCGCAAGAUUG